GACGAACGCUGGCGGCGUGCCUAAUACAUGCAAGUUGAGCGAUGAAGCUUGGUGCUUGCACCAAUUUGAAGAGCAGCGAACGGGUGAGUAACGCGUGGGGAAUCUGUCUUUGAGCGGGGGACAACAUUUGGAAACGAAUGCUAAUACCGCAUAACAACUUUAAACAUAAGUUUUAAGUUUGAAAGAUGCAAUUGCAUCACUCAAAGAUGAUCCCGCGUUGUAUUAGCUAGUUGGUGAGGUAAAGGCUCACCAAGGCGAUGAUACAUAGCCGACCUGAGAGGGCGGUCGGCCACAUUGGGACUGAGACACGGCCCAAACUCCUACGGGAGGCAGCAGUAGGGAAUCUUCGGCAAUGGACGAAAGUCUGACCGAGCAACGCCGCGGGAGUGAAGAAGGGUUUCGGAUCGUAAAACUCUGUUGGUAGAGAAGAACGUUGGUGAGAGUGGAAAGCUCAUCAAGUGACGGUAACUACCCAGAAAGGGACGGCUAACUACGUG
rnacentral:rRNA from 1 species